UACGUAGGGGGCAAGCGUUGUCCGGAAUCAUUGGGCGUAAAGCGCGUGUAGGCGGUUCGAUAAGUCUGCUGUGAAAGUCCAGGGCUCAACCCUGGAAAGCCGGUGGAUACUGUCGGACUAGAGUGCGGAAGAGGCGAGUGGAAUUCCCGGUGUAGCGGUGAAAUGCGCAGAUAUCGGGAGGAACACCAAUUGCGAAGGCAGCUCGCUGGGACGUUACUGACGCUGAGGAGCGAAAGCGUGGGGAGCGAACAGG
rnacentral:rRNA from 1 species